CGGACGGGUGAGUAACGCGUAAGAAUCUAACUUCAGGACGGGGACAACAGUUGGAAACGACUGCUAAUACCCGAUGUGCCGCGAGGUGAAACCUAAUUGGCCUGAAGAAGAGCUUGCGUCUGAUUAGCUAGUUGGUGGGGUAAAGGCCUACCAAGGCGACGAUCAGUAGCUGGUCUGAGAGGAUGAGCAGCCACACUGGGACUGAGACACGGCCCAGACUCCUACGGGAGGCAGCAGUGGGGAAUUUUCCGCAAUGGGCGAAAGCCUGACGGAGCAACGCCGCGUGAGGGAGGAAGGUCUUUGGAUUGUAAACCUCUUUUCUCAAGGAAGAAGUUCUGACGGUACUUGAGGAAUCAGCCUCGGCUAACUCCGUGCCAGCAGCCGCGGUAAUACGGGGGAGGCAAGCGUUAUCCGGAAUUAUUGGGCGUAAAGCGUCCGCAGGUGGUCAGCCAAGUCUGCUGUCAAAUCAGGUUGCUUAACGACCUAAAGGCGGUGGAAACUGGCAGACUAGAGAGCAGUAGGGGUAGCAGGAAUUCCCAGUGUAGCGGUGAAAUGCGUAGAGAUUGGGAAGAACAUCGGUGGCGAAAGCGUGCUACUGGGCUGUAUCUGACACUCAGGGACGAAAGCUAGGGGAGCGAAAGGGAUUAGAUACCCCUGUAGUC
rnacentral:rRNA from 1 species